rnacentral:rRNA from 1 species
UGGGGAAUUUUGGACAAUGGGCGAAAGCCUGAUCCAGCAAUGCCGCGUGUGUGAAGAAGGCCUUCGGGUUGUAAAGCACUUUUGUCCGGAAAGAAAUCCUUGGCUCUAAUACAGUCGGGGGAUGACGGUACCGGAAGAAUAAGCACCGGCUAACUACGUGCCAGCAGCCGCGGUAAUACGUAGGGUGCAAGCGUUAAUCGGAAUUACUGGGCGUAAAGCGUGCGCAGGCGGUUUGCUAAGACCGAUGUGAAAUCCCCGGGCUCAACCUGGGAACUGCAUUGGUGACUGGCAGGCUAGAGUAUGGCAGAGGGGGGUAGAAUUCCACGUGUAGCAGUGAAAUGCGUAGAGAUGUGGAGGAAUACCGAUGGCGAAGGCAGCCCCCUGGGCCAAUACUGACGCUCAUGCACGAAAGCGUGGGGAGCAAACAGGAUUAGAUACCCUGGUAGUCCACGCCCUAAAACGAUGUCAACUAGUUGUUGGGGAUUCAUUCCUUAGUAACGUAGCUAACGCGUGAAGUUGACCGCCUGGGGAGUACGGUCGCAAGAUUAAAACUCAAAUGAAUUGACGGGGUCAUAGCUG